CCUACGGGAGGCAGCAGUGGGGAAUCUUGCGCAAUGGGCGAAAGCCUGACGCAGCAACGCCGCGUGCGGGAAGAAGGCUUUCGGGCUGUAAACCGCUUUCAGCAGGAACGAAAAUGACGGUACCUGCAGAAGAAGGAGCGGCCAACUAUGUGCCAGCAGCCGCGGUGAUACAUAGGCUUCAAGCGUUGUCCGGAUUUAUUGGGCGUAAAGAGUUCGUAGGCGGUCGAGUAAGUCGGGUGUGAAAAUUCUGGGCUCAACCCAGAGACGCCACCCGAUACUGCUUAACUUGAGUUCAAUAGGGGAGUGGGGAAUUCCUAGUGUAGCGGUGAAAUGCGCAGAUAUUAGGAGGAACACCGGUGGCGAAGGCGCCACUCUGGAUCGAUACUGACGCUGAGGACGAAAGCAUGGGUAGCAAACAGGAUUAGAUACCCUGGUAGUCCAUGCCGUAAACGGUGGGCACUAGGUGUGGGAUUCUAUUAACGAAUUCCGCGCCGUCGCUAACGCAUUAAGUGCCCCGCCUGGGGGUAGGUACGGUCGCGAGACGUAAACGUACGAAGAAGUAAGUACGGCGUUGAGACGUUGCCGAACGGACGACGACGAGGGAGGAGG
rnacentral:rRNA from 1 species